GAUGAACGCUGGCGGCGUGCCUAAUACAUGCAAGUCGAGCGAAGGGGGGACGGUUGAGUAACAGGGGGAUAAACUCCUUAACGAAUGGGAUAACUUGGGGAAACCGGAGCAAAACCGGCUACUUAUAGAUGGAUCCGCGGUGCAUUAGCUAGUUGAUAAGGUAACGGCUUACCAAGGCAACGAUGCAUAGCCGACCUGAGAGGGUGAUCGGCCACACUGGAACUGAGACACGGUCCAGACUCCUACGGGAGGCAGCAGUAGGGAAUCGUCCGCAAUGGGCGAAAGCCUGACGGAGCAACGCCGCGUGAGUGAUGAAGGUCUUCGGAUCGUAAAACUCUGUUAUUAGGGAAGCGGUACCUAAUCAGAAAGCCACGGCUAACUACGUGCCAGCAGCCGCGGUAAUUC
rnacentral:rRNA from 1 species